CCGUAUAACAUAUAUUGAUCGCAUGGUCGAUAUAUCAAAACUGAGGUGCCGAAGGAUGGGCUCGCGUCUGAUUAGAUAGUUGGUGGGGUAACGGCCUACCAAGUCGACGAUCAGUAGCCGGACUGAGAGGUUGAACGGCCACAUUGGGACUGAGACACGGCCCAGACUCCUACGGGAGGCAGCAGUGGGGAAUAUUGCACAAUGGGGGAAACCCUGAUGCAGCAACGCCGCGUGAAGGAAGACGGUUUUCGGAUUGUAAACUUCUGUUCUUAGUGAAGAAUAAUGACGGUAGCUAAGGAGCAAGCCACGGCCAACUACGUGCCAGCAGCCGCGGUAAUACGUAGGUGGCAAGCGUUGUCCGGAAUUACUGGGUGUAAAGGGAGCGUAGGCGGGAUGCCAAGUCAGCUGUGAAAACUAUGGGCUUAACUUGUAGACUGCAGUUGAAACUGGUAUUCUUGAGUGAAGUAGAGGUUGGCGGAAUUCCGAGUGUAGCGGUGAAAUGCGUAGAUAUUCGGAGGAACACCGGUGGCGAAGGCGGCCAACUGGGCUUUAACUGACGCUGAGGCUCGAAAGUGUGGGGAGCAAACAGGAUUAGAUACCCUGGUAGUCCACACUGUAAACGA
rnacentral:rRNA from 1 species